GAUGAACGCUAGCUACAGGCUUAACACAUGCAAGUCGAGGUACCGGCGCACGGGUGAGUAACACGUAUCCAACCUGCCCUUUACUCGGGGAUAGCCUUUCGAAAGAAAGAUUAAUACCCGAUAUAAAGGAUGGGGAUGCGUUCCAUUAGGUUGUUGGUGAGGUAACGGCCCACCAAGCCUUCGAUGGAUAGGGGUUCGGAGAGGAAGGUCACCUGCAUUGGAACUGAGACACGGACCAAACGCGUACGGGAGGCAGCAGGGAGGAAUAUUGGUCAAUGGGUGCUAGCCUGAACCAGCCAAGUAGAGUGAAGGAUGAAGGCUUAUGGGUCGUAAAUUUCUUUUAUAUAAGAAUAUGUAUUAUAUGAAUAAGGAUCGGCUAACUCCGUGCCAGCAGCCGCGGUAAUAC
rnacentral:rRNA from 1 species